rnacentral:rRNA from 1 species
GAUGAACGCUGGCGGCGUGCCUAACACAUGCAAGUCGAGCGAACAGACGCGGAGUUUGCUCCUCUGACGUUAGCCGCGGACGGGUGAGUAACACGUGGAUAACCUACCUAUAAGACUGGGAUAACUUCGGGACACCGGAGCUUAUACCGGAUAAUCUAUUGAACCGUAUGGUUCAAUAGUGAAAUACGGUUUUGCUGUCAGUUAUAGAUGGAUCCGCGCGGCAUUAGCUAGUUGGUAAGGUAACGGCUUACCAAGGCAACGAUGCGUGACCGAAGUGAGAGAGGGGUCGGCGACAUGAGAGGUGGGACGCGGACCAGGCGACUGCGGGACGCACCAGAAGGGAAUCGGACGCAGUAGGCGAGAGCCUGACGGAGCGACGCGACGUGAGAGAUGGAGGUCUUGGGAGCGUGAAACUCUGUUAUGAGUGGAAAACAAAUGUGUAAGUAACUAUGCACUUCUUGACGGUAGCUGGUCAAAAAGCCACGGCUAACUACGUG